rnacentral:rRNA from 1 species
UACGUAGGGGGCAAGCGUUGUCCGGAAUCAUUGGGCGUAAAGAGCGCGUAGGCGGCCUGCUAAGUCGAACGUGAAAUCCCUCGGCUCAACCGAGGAACUGCGUCCGAUACUGAAAGGCUUGAAUCCGGGAGAGGGAUGUGGAAUUCCAGGUGUAGCGGUGAAAUGCGUAGAUAUCUGGAGGAACACCGGUGGCGAAGGCGGCAUCCUGGACCGGCAUUGACGCUGAGGCGCGAAAGCCAGGGGAGUAAACGGG